rnacentral:rRNA from 1 species
GACGAACGCUGGCGGCGUGCUUAACACAUGCCAGUCGAACGGAAAGGCCCUGCUUUUGUGGGGUGCUCGAGUGGCGAACGGGUGAGUAACACGUGAGUAACCUGCCCUUGACUUUGGGAUAACUUCAGGAAACUGGGGCUAAUACCGGAUAGGAGCUCCUGCUGCAUGGUGGGGGUUGGAAAGUUUCGGCGGUUGGGGAUGGACUCGCGGCUUAUCAGCUUGUUGGUGGGGUAGUGGCUUACCAAGGGUUUGACGGGUAGCCGGCCUGAGAGGGUGACCGGCGACAAGGGGACUGAGAGAGGGCGCAGACGCGAACGGGAGGCAGCAGUGGGGAAUAUUGCACAGUGGGCGGAAGCCUGAGGAAGAAACGCCGCGUGCGGGAUGACGGCCUUCGGGUUGUAAACCGCUUUAGCCUGUGACGAAGCGUGAGUGACGGUAAUGGGUAAAGAAGCACCGGCUAACUACGUG